CCCCUCCCUCCACAAUUCCUCGAGGCGGGAGGGAAGGAAUGCAGGCGGCCACARCUGAGGGGGUUGGAGGGUUCGACUUUUACUUCCGUGAAGAGGUUAAGUUCCUGACGCCCGAAGAAACUCGAGUUAAAGAACAUCAUUGAAACGUUGCUUUCCAUAGUCUGCAGGAUCCAUCUGAAGCUCUCUCUCUUCAUCAUCUGACAAGGUCUCAUAAAUUGCCAAUGCCGGCUUUGAAUCUGCAAUCUUCCUACUACCUGAGUUUCCUGAGGAGCUGGGAUUAGAGGCCACUAGGCUCAGAAGUAUUAUCUUUUAUACUCUUUUUAUGUUCACAUUUUCUAUAUGUGCAUUUGAGAUCUAGUUAUAAACUACAUAUGGAUGCAUUUUUUUUCUUUCCA